rnacentral:tRNA from 1 species
GGGGCUAUAGCUCAGCUGGGAGAGCGCUUGCAUGGCAUGCAAGAGGUCAUCGGUUCGAUCCCGAUUAGCUCCA